UACGUAGGGUGCAAGCGUUGUCCGGAAUUAUUGGGCGUAAAGAGCUCGUAGGCGGUCUGUCGCGUCGGCUGUGAAAACUCGGGGCUCAACCCCGAGCUUGCAGUCGAUACGGGCAGACUAGAGGUAGGCAGGGGAGAGCGGAACUCCUGGUGUAGCGGUGGAAUGCGCAGAUAUCAGGAAGAACACCGGUGGCGAAGGCGGCUCUCUGGGCCUUACCUGACGCUGAGGAGCGAAAGCGUGGGUAGCGAACAGG
rnacentral:rRNA from 1 species